UGCGGGAUCAGAAUACCAACCCAAAAUUUGAAAGCAUGUUUUCGAUUAAUUCUUGUUUUGUAAGAGCCUGGUUUAGAUUAUUUUAUUAAAUAUAAAUUCUGUAUACUUCAAGUGGACUUAAGUGUGAUGAAUACAAGUAGUCAAGGGAUGGAUUGAUCAGGCAGCAGCUCAGACUGAAUGUGUCAAAUGUAAUGCUACAUACAGUUGAAAUAUCAGAUGGACUUGAAGGUUAGUCCUUCAUAAAAGUAUGCCAGUGCUGAAAUGAAGUGAAGCAAACGAAUGAAAUAAUUGUAUGGCGGGAAAAGCUCAUAAAAAUGUUAUUAAAUUAUAAGAGUAGGUUUGAGGAAAAAUUGUGAAAGAAAAAAUUAAAAAUCUUUAAAGAAAAUUUUAUUGUGAGAAAAGGAGUAAAAUAUGUCAAUCAGAAUUUCCGUGGGCAAUUUUUUUAUAUAUUUCAUCAAGAUCGGCCUUUGUUAGAUAUCAUGGCGCCAUCUUUUGAUGAAAUCUGAAGUACGAUUAGUGUUGUACCAAUGGGCGAAAAGAUAAGAGGGCAGCACGAAACUAAAGUAACCAUUUCUAGAGAAAUUUUACUAGAGCAGGGUGUUCCAAAGCCCUAAUUAUGAAAAGCGGAGCAGAUUUCAUAUGCAAUAAAUAAUGGGAUUCGCAGCAUUUUUAAAAUUUAAAGGUGAGGAGAUACUAUUUUAUCUUGCAUGUAUCUGCAAUGACUCUUCUACAUUUUUGAAACCGUUCUAUAUAUAUCUGCUAAAAUUUUAUCACUUCCGUUUUAUUUUUCUCGACAGAAAAAAAGGGAGUUUAAAAUCUGACACUUUCUUUCAUAAUUUGUAUUUAUGCCAAUUUUAAGUCGAGAAAGCUACAUGAUCUUUAGGAUUGACUACAAAUAUUUACACCCUAAUGGUGACCCCAUGAAAAAUUGUAAAUCGGUAGAGAUGGAUAUACGCUUUUUACCCAAAAUACGCUUUACCCAAAAAUUGAUCUAAGCUGUGCAUAAUUAUUAUUCUGCAUUUUAUAUUAUUGCAUCAUUAGCUGUGCAUUUUUAUACAGUCUCCUGGUCAUAUUUAGUAAAAUAUUCUUGAUGCACAUUUUAACAAAAAGUUAUUUGGUGAAACGAAGCAGAUUUUAAAAAUAGUUCUGAGAAAUGCUCUUUUUAUCUUAAAAAAUGAUAAUAGUUUUAUGUGAUGCAGAGUCAGUUAAAAAUUCCACACUGUUUUCUUAUGUAUUAAAAAAGUAUUUGAACUUAUACCUUCGUCACUUUACUUAUUUUUUAAAGUUUUUUAGAUUUUCAUCUAAUUGGUGUUCUGGAUAUCAUUGAAAAAUAAAGUUGCUCUUUGUAGAAGAAAACAUCGAUAGCAAUUAAUCAUUGAUAUCCGAAAGAAAAAAAGAAAUGGCAUAUUUUAGCAAAGUUGACUCUUGCGCCAUUAAAACUCGCAUACCAUUAACCGAAAAAGAAAAUUAGAUCCGAAUAGUUAGGACUUUUGAUUCUGAGAAAUGAAUGCAAGAAACAAGGACGGCAGGUUUGACUUGUCGAAGCUGUGCUCAUUGGAAAUAAUAAGUCUGUUAUUUGUGCGAGAAUUAUUAACUGUAACCGAAAUUAAAAUGUUUUAUUUUGAUCUUUUCUUUUUACAGAAUUUUAAUUUUUUUUCUAAACAGUUUUUCUGGUCCUUUUAUAUGUUCCUGUUUGCAAUUAAUAAUUUGCCGAUUUCAUAAUAAAUUAUUCUAAACUACAAUAACGGAACAUUAUCAUCGUGCUUUUCUAUUGUUUAAGCACUACAGUAAUCACUGUAGUGAUUAUAUAAACCAUAAAAUAUUAAUACACAUAACUAAAAUUUUAAAGUAAUAAAUAGAAAAUGCAAGUAAUAAAAAAAGAGGUAGGAAGUGGCAAAAUAUGAAAAACCGAAUUAAAAAUAUGUUGUGAAUUUUUAUUACUGUAAUAUGUGACAAGACCCAAAGAUUUGCUUUAUUAUAAUUGUACUCAUUUUUUAAAAGGUUAUUAUUAAUUUCCUUGUUGCAGAAAUAUCUU